UGUCCAGAAUUGAGACUGAACCGUGACUCAGUUGUUAAGUUGGAAUCAUUGGCUGAACUGGUACUAGCCCAAACAAAUAUUACUGAAUUACCAGAAUCCAUAAAAAACUUGCAGAAUUUGAGAAUUCUGAAUAUUAGAGAUACUGACAUUGAAAGGCUACCGAAUGCCAUUGGAAGGUUGACAAAGCUCCGGGAGUUAGAUGCUUCAUGGUGCAGAAAGCUGGUUGAGGUAGACCUAAGCAUCUGUGAUCUGACUUCUCUCCAAAGCCUUGAUUUGCGCGGUUGCAAUAAGCUUCCAAACCUGCCGGAGCUUCCUUCCAACUUAACAGUUGUCAGUGUCACCUGUAAGAGUGCCAAAUUGCCUUCAUUUUCUCACUUGAGCCAUCUGAAGCAACUACGACUUCAUGACUGCAUGUAUCUCGUAUCCAUACCAGAGCUUCCUCCAACAACAUUGGAUCUUGAAAUUUCGGGCUGUGAAGCUUUGGAGUUCUUAACCCCACAGGAGGCAGUUGAAGAUACCAAAGUGUCAUUGAAAAGGUUAGACAUCAUUCGCUGCAAGUCCUUGGGAAAACUGGACCUUUCCCAAUUAAAUCUUCUUAGUGUAUUAUAUGCUCUGGAUUGCGUAAAAAUACAGGAAAUUGAAGGUCUUGACAAAUUGGAUAGCUUGGAAAGCUUGACUAUCCACGGCCAGUGUUUCAGAGGGUUGGACAAACCAUUUUCGUCCCUUAGCGAACGGGCAUAUUUUCUGACCACAAUGAAAUGCUAGGCCUUUCAGAUUUGGAGGUUCUUCAUAGGUUUAGCGUUCUCGGAAGACUCGAACGUCUUUGGGCGCACUUUCUUAAAAAGGCAGGACCUUUCAUAUCUAGAGUGUUCGGAGAUAUUAAAUGCUGAAAAUUAAAAAUAUACAGUCAUAAUUUAAGGUCUCAAUAAGUCAUAGCUUUUGGAAAAGCUGAAUAUCUUUGAAAAGUUAGUGGACUCAUGUUGCCUUCAGACCCUCAAAAGCGUUGGAUAUCGUGUCCAACUUGAUCCGUACGGUAUGAUCGUGGAAAAAGUGCUAGAUGAUGAGAAAAAGCUGCUGAUUGGACAAAUAGAUUUUCUGGGUGCAAGUUACCCAAACCAAUGCCAGAAUUAUCUGGAAGGUGACUAGCGAAAUCGUGAUUCCUUUGAUGCAAUGAUGCAGAGGCAGACGUGUAAUAGAAGUUGAGAUGAUCCCCAUUUUCCUAAUAAAGCAUGUCAAGCAGGGAAUAGUGGGGAAGAUCUUUGGAGUCAAUGUGAUGCUUCAGCAGAACCUUUUUCCUCAUCUUGCUUGGGGAUGAAAAUAGAUCAGAAGGCCUUCUAAGUACGUUACUCGUCAUUAGUCUUUAAGUAAGAUCCUUCAUCCUCACAUGAUUUCAAUCAUGGCCAGCAUGCGCAAAAACGCAGAUGCAGGACACAUGGUUUGCUUUCACACACAAUACCUAAUGUGUUUCUUUCAUUUAUGCAGAAAAAGAAGAUUUUCAAUGUUCAAUUGAUUCUAGAAUUCUGGUAUUAACGACAAAUACAGACGUUUGAUUGCAUGAA